rnacentral:piRNA from 1 species
UAUGUUUUUUCAUUUCCGUUG